CACGUAGGGGGCAAGCGUUGUCCGGAUUUAUUGGGCGUAAAGAGCUCGUAGGCGGCUCAGUAAGUCAGGUGUGAAACCUCCAGGCUCAACCUGGAGACGCCACCUGAUACUGCUGUGGCUAGAGUCCGGUAGGGGAGCGUGGAAUUCCUGGUGUAGCGGUGAAAUGCGCAGAUAUCAGGAGGAACACCAGCGGCGAAGGCGGCGCUCUGGGCCGGUACUGACACUGAGGAGCGAAAGCGUGGGUAGCAAACAGG
rnacentral:rRNA from 1 species